UGCAGUGUGGUGCAGUGGUUUGUACGUUGGCCUACAAUUCUAGAGAACAGGGUUUGAAUCCCUGCUCAGCCA